CCCGCCCGGCCAAGGCUAGGCAGCCAGCCGGAAGCGAGUCUUGCGUGGCACCGGGGCGACCCGUGCUGCGAAGCGUAGACAGCAAGUGCGUAGGCCUCUGCGACUGAGCCCCGAGAACAUAAUGACCCGUGAGGGCCGACGGCGUGUUGGUUCCGGAAGGCUAUCCCCGCGCACCGCAAUGUCUUGGUGUAGCGGGCCUCGCCGGGGUCC
rnacentral:ncRNA from 1 species